AGAUAGCCANGCANGUCCAGUACAUGCCGUAUUAAGGCGAAACCGCGAAUGGCUCAUUAAAUCAGUUAUGGUUCCUUGGAUCGUACCUUCCUACUUGGAUAACUGUGGCAAUUCUAGAGCUAAUACAUGCAGCAGAGCUCCGACCUUCGGGGACGAGCGCUUUUAUUAGACCAAAACCAAUCGGGCCUCGUGCCCGUGAAUCGUGGUGACUCUGUAUAACUUUCGGCGGAUCGCACGGGCUCGUCCCGGCGACGUAUCCUUCAAGUGUCUGCCUUAUCAACUGUCGAUGGUAGGUUACGCGCCUACCAUGGUCGUAACGGGUGACGGGGAAUCAGGGUUCGAUUCCGGAGAGGGAGCCUGAGAAACGGCUACCACAUCCAAGGAAGGCAGCAGGCGCGCAAAUUACCCAAUCCCGGCUCGGGGAGGUAGUGACGAAAAAUAACAAUACGGGACUCUUUUGAGACCCCGUAAUUGGAAUGAGUACACCCUAAAUCCUUUAACGAGGAUCUAUUGGAGGGAAAGUCUGAUGCCAGCAGCCGCGGUAAUUUCAGCUCCAAUGGCGUAUAUUAAAGUUGUUGCGGUUAAAAAGCUCGUAGUUGGAUCUCAGUUCCAGAGGGGUGGCCCGCCUACCGGUGGUUGCCUCCUUUUCUGAACACGUCGCCGGUUUGCCUCGAUGAUCUUCACCGGUUGUCUUGGUUGGCCGGCAGUUUUACUUUGAAAAAAUUAGAGUGCUCAAAGCAGGCUGAGAGCCUGGAUAAUGGUGCAUGGGAUAAUGGAAUAGGACCUCGGUUCUAUGUUGUUGGUUUUCGGAACACGAGGUAAUGAUUAAGAGGGACAGACGGGGGCAUUCGUAUUGCGACGCUAGAGGUGAAAUUCUUGGACCGUCGCAAGACGACUAUGNAGAAUUUUUUUUUUNNNAANANAAAA
rnacentral:rRNA from 2 species